AACGCAUAUUGCGCCUUUUGGUAUUCCGAGAGGCAUGUCUGUCUGAGCGUCAUGUCUAGCACUCAAUUCUUCAUUUUGCAUGGAGAUUUGGUCCUGAGCCUUUGGAGUCCUGCAAGGUUUCCAGCUCUAAUUUAGUAAGUGAGCAGUCUUGCUUGAACCCAUGGAACAUGAUAUUAUUUGUUGUUCAAUGGUGUGCAGCAAUGGAUUUGCCUUGAAUUCUAUUUGAAGUUUGGCCUCAGAUCAGACAAGGAUACCCGCUGAACUUAA
rnacentral:misc_RNA from 1 species